AACGAUAAAGGCAAACCCUGAGUGAUCAGGGGACGCAAAGUAAAGGAUCUUUAAUCAUAGCCUGGCAGAGACGCAUCAUGAUGCGUCUCUCCUAUGAAUAGUAAAGAUAGCCCUACUACCGAAC
rnacentral:ncRNA from 1 species